GUUUAUGUGAGUAUUAAGAACAUUUUUAAUUUGUUCAACUAAGGUAUUUUUCAAAGAUAUACCUUCUGCUAGGAGAUCAUGUAUGAUGACUUGCAACUCCUGUACUUGAGAGACAACAGAUUUACUAUCUAUCAUUUUGAAGUCCAGGAACCGUGCAACAAGGAAUUUCUUAAUUCCCGCAUCCUCCGUCUUAUAUUUUCGUUCAAGUGCCCCCCACAGUUCCUUUGAUGUCUUGGUUCCACUAUAAAUAUUGUAGAGGUCGUCUUGGAGACCACUCAGAAUAUAAUUUCUG
rnacentral:lncRNA from 1 species